GUCGGGUACUAAGGUGCACGCCUGUAGUCCCAGCUACUCGGGAGGCUGAGGUGGGAGAAUCCCUUGAGUCCAGGAGUUCUGGGCUGCAGUGUGCAAUGCGGAUUUGGAGUAGCAUUAAGUUAGGCAUCAAUAUAGUGACCUGCCAGAAGAGGGGGCAACCAGGUUGCCUAAGGAGGGGUGAACCGGCCCAGGUUGAAAACGGUACAGGUCAAAACUGCCAUGCUGAAAUUAACCUCAGCAAUAAUAUCUAGACAUGAAGAAGAAUUUCAAGCACACUUUU
rnacentral:SRP_RNA from 1 species